GGAUAAUCGAAGCGAUUAGAUGUGUGCCCGUGUAUGUUUACGAUUAGUGCCGAUCUUUCUACUACGCAGUAUUAGAGAGGGACGCCAUGAAAUUCAAACGGACGCCAUGAUUGAUGAUGACUACGAUGCCUUUUGUGGAUAUUUGAUUUCUUCCAGUCUUCGUCUCUUGCGUGGGAUGCGGUGAUUCCUGUUUACUGACAGUCUUCAUUAUGACAUCUCCUGAACCACAACAACAUCGAUGAUAACGUUCUUCGCGUUUAAUGCUGGGCAAAUGAAACCAUUAUAACUUGAGCUAAACCAUAAUAAAAUAUCGGGAAACAGAGGGAAACGGAAGGUGGCGCGCAAAAAAAGAGAGAAUACCAUUAAUAAACAACGAAUCGAGGAAAACCCAUAACGGGAGAAAUCGUUCCGGUGGCUCGCGUGCAACUGCUGAUAAAGGAGUUUCGCAGGAGAACGAAGCGCGAAGGAAGGCCGCGAAUUAAUCGCCGGAUCGUGUGUCGACUUCCAGCGGAGGAUAUUCGUUUCGCGGGCAACAAGGUAAACCAGAGAACCGGCUAAAAUAUCCGGUGCAAUAUUUAGAUUACAAGCCUGAUCCGGCAGGGAACUUUUCAUUCGGCUGACAUAACGCAUUAACCAGAGCGAAUCAACGCUGAAAAUUAGUCUCUGUCCACUUGACGAAAGACCACGAGUUUCUGUUUCAUUUUAUAGUUCGCGCGAUUGCCUUUUGAUUUGUUGUAAGUUCGCUGAUUAACGUUUAUCGAUGUCUCCGUAUAACAGAAAUUUUCGGCGUGAAAAGCUACAUUCCCGCGAUUUUUAUUCGCUGUUUAUGCUCUAAUAGGGGAAAGGCGCUGUGAAAUCUUGAUGUAAAAUCUGUCACUAUCGAAUCUCUGUUCUUCGUAUAAUAGUAGUAUCUUUUAAUAGAAAGAACCAUCUGCUAUUACCAAAUAUCCUGUUCGAAUAAAAGAAUAUCCGGAUAAGCACAAUAUUUCAAUAUCAAAGUAUAUAUGUAUUCGAAUAAUGGAUAACGAAUUUUGGAUGCCGGAUGCUCUAUCGUAUUUCUAUCCAAGGAAAUCGGGUGGUGGCACCUUCGUCACGAGUAAAAUAAGAAACGAUGCCGUGACAGGUUCAACUGACGAAGCAACGACCUUCUUUCGUUGGACAACCCGCCGUCUGGGCCGCUUCCACGGACUAAUUUAAAACGCGGCAGGAAAAUGGUUUCUUACUACCGUGGCGGCUCACUCGAGCACGAUCCUGUUUCAAUUAGAAGAAUAGUUCUGGCAAACGCUGUAUCCCGUGAUCGUAACUGACAUGGCUGUUAUUAAAUGCAAUAUGUCGUGGCAAGGACGUUGAAGAAAAUAAUACGGAUAGCAGAAAGGAUUAAUUUGGUGGAAUGCGACAGGAAUAGUAAGGUUUGAUCGCAAACACAUCGCUUUGAAGAGUUAAGCAUCCCGAGCAGGAUCAAGCGGUGUCCCAAGAUCAGCCGACAUUUCGUUAUGAUUAGACAGCAAGAGUAUUUAUGCAAAUUUACGUUAUUAUAAAUGCUACUAAACGAAUAGAACCCUACGCAGCGAUUUGUUUCGUCCACUAAAUAUUUAUAGACCUCCGAUAUUUAUGUAAUGGAAAAAUAUCUAUCGCACGAUCUUUGGAACGUGACAACGAAUGAAAAUUUCAGUUAUUUGAAAGUAUAAUGCUAGGCGAGGCGAAAUGUUGUUGACUACCACUAACCGAUUGGUAUAUAAAUCCUAUAAUAAAUACAACGAUGUACAAGCAGCUACCGUAGGUCGAAGAAGAAGAAGAAGAAAUAGCAUAUUUAUGGAGGCAACGUAUGACAUCCGAGUUAUAAGUACUGCAUGCAAUUUGUGUACAUAUAUCACCUAUAUUAAUCUACAGAACAAUGUAAGUCUCUACACAUAAAGAUUUAUACCUUCUACACCUGUACUUUUCACAUGAUCUAUGCUGGACUGUGUAAAUAAUUAUACGACCGGGAUAUUGUAUUACUAGCGCCGUCUAUUUUCUUCCUCGAAGAAUCAUGAUAUGGUGAGAUCGAACAUGAGAAACGUGUGAUUCGAAUUUUCGAUUUUAUACGAUAUAUUCUUCAUUAAGUUCUUUAGUCGAACGAACGACUAGAAUGGAUUAUUAGCGAAUUCGUUGAUAUUAUCGUCUUCGUUGACACCCGAGUAUUAGAAUUUCCCUGGUAAUUAAUUUAUCUAAUUGCAAACUUUCUUUAUAAAGAAAGAGAAAGUGCAAGAAAUGUAAAUAAUUCUUAGUAAAAGUUGUGGAGAAAUUUCGCAUGCAUGCAUAGCGAAUUCGACGGAAAUUUGUUCCAUAAUGUCGGUGUAUUCAUCGCUCUGUUCAUUACCGUCUUUUCAUACUUUCUGCGAGUUAGUUCGCGCAAAAAAGUUUAAUUUUACCAGCAAGACCCUUGUUUUCACAGCUGGAAUGAAUGUGAAACGGAAUCGCAGUGAUCUUGUAUUAGCAGAGAAAAUAUUAAAUUCCUAACAAGUUUGGCGAAAUAAAAAUUCCAGAAUAACUACUGUAUGAGAAAUCUUGUCAAGAUAUAAAGAAUUAACAAAUAUUUCUCUAUAUUCUUCUCUUAUGAUAAUACAAUUUUCUAAAUGUAUGUCGAAACAAUCGUAGUAUGUACAUU